rnacentral:rRNA from 1 species
UACGAAGGGGACUAGCGUUGCUCGGAAUCACUGGGCGUAAAGCGCACGUAGGCGGACUCUUAAGUCAGGGGUGAAAUCCUGGAGCUCAACUCCAGAACUGCCUUUGAUACUGAAGAUCUUGAGUCCGGGAGAGGUGAGUGGAACUGCGAGUGUAGAGGUGAAAUUCGUAGAUAUUCGCAAGAACACCAGUGGCGAAGGCGGCUCACUGGCCCGGUACUGACGCUGAGGCACGAAAGCGUGGGGAGCAAACAGG